rnacentral:rRNA from 1 species
GACGAACGCUGGCGGCGUGCCUAAUACGUGCAAGUUGAGCGCUGAAGGUUGGUACUUGUACCAACUGGAUGAGCAGCGAACGGGUGAGUAACGCGUGGGGAAUCUGCCUUUGAGCGGGGGACAACAUUUGGAAACGAAUGCUAAUACCGCAUAAAAACUUUAAACACAAGUUUUAAGUUUGAAAGAUGCAAUUGCAUCACUCAAAGAUGAUCCCGCGUUGUAUUAGCUAGUUGGUGAGGUAAAGGCUCACCAAGGCGAUGAUACAUAGCCGACCUGAGAGGGUGAGCGGCCACAUUGGGACUGAGACACGGCCCAAACUCCUACGGGAGGCAGCAGUAGGGAAUCUUCGGCAAUGGACGAAAGUCUGACCGAGCAACGCCGCGUGAGUGAAGAAGGUUUUCGGAUCGUAAAACUCUGUUGGUAGAGAAGAACGUUGGUGAGAGUGGAAAGCUCAUCAAGUGACGGUAACUACCCAGAAAGGGACGGCUAACUACGUG